UGCAGCCAACUUUCUCUAAUAUUUUAUUCUUAUAGACACCCUUCCUAUAUAUAUAAAAUUUAGGGGAAAUUUGGUUUGACUAUAGACACACCAAGCCUUAUACUACCCCGCCCAUGGAUACAAUAUGGAUAUUUAUGAGAAUACUCAUCAUUGGAUCCAAGACACCAUAUUUUCAAAAGAUGUGGGUCGUGCCACCUAUCCAACUUCCAACCCAGAAUAGUUUCCUUUUAGAUCGAUGUUUAUUUUCUUUGGAAAAACUUCAUGCAAAUAAAUGUUUGGCAUCCUCCAAUUUAAACUCAACCUUCUAGUUCUAGAUGAUGGCACAAACAAA
rnacentral:lncRNA from 1 species